rnacentral:lncRNA from 1 species
GGGGAAGGGGAGGGGAGAAGGGAAUCUUUUUAUUCAGGCGAAGGCAAAAAAAAAAAUCUAUUAAAGAAAUUAAUUAAAAAGCGCAUCGCUUUUAUUUAUCUGUUGGUUUGGUUGUUGUUGUUGCUGUUGUUUUGCAGGGGUUUCUGUUGUCAGUGGCGCUCCGUAAUGAAAACAAAGGAUGUUUGACUAUAGGGGAGGAUUUCAGGGCCCGUUGUCGUAUGGCGGUGCUGGAGGUGGGGGGGAAUUUUUGCUGCUGCAAAUCUCCGCAGACCGUCUGUUGGGGAAAAAGCACCCGGAGUUCGACCAGAAUCUUCAGGGGAAAUAAUAAUACUAAUAAUAAAAUCUGGAUCGUAAAGGUGAAAGCUUUAUAUUUGGGGGAGAAAACCCAAAUCCUCACCCAACCCCCCCUCCCCCAGACCUCUCACUUUGGAAGAAACCACCCAAACCAUGAGGGCCGUCUCUGGGGCGUUGGAAAAAGGAUGUGGGAGCGAACCAGGUAACAGAGCUGCUCUCUUGGCAUGCAUUUCUGAUCGUUUUAUUGCCUCCUUUCACGAGAAAGUUCGGGGAAAGCAAAAGGACGACAACAACAAUAAAAAAAAGAAAAGAGAGAGAGGGAAAGAAGGG